rnacentral:sRNA from 13 species
GAUCGUUUCGAUUUCCUUUUGUAUUUUUUCCUCACUUGGGCUGUUCUCGAGAUUGGCGGCAUCUGUAAGAUGUAGGGGUAUACAUAUACAGAGGCGAGCUAAACGCUGAUUGUUGAACUAAGAAACAUAUGAGUAUGCAUAUAUAUAAAUCGUUAUAUCUGACUUGAUUUAUGACACAAGAGUCAAUCGGGCAACCAACGCAAUUGUUCCUACUCUUACACAUAUUGACACACAGACAUAAGUGUAUCAAUCCGUGUCUCUUUAAAUGGAUCAGUCAAUAUGCCGAUAAAUGUCAAUCAGCGCCGAUACGAACGAGAACAAGGGCCAAAAGAGACACUUGAAUACAUGUGAGCCGCUCAAAAUGAUUGAAAUCAUUUAAUAGAAACCAACUAAGAAGACAAUGCUGAAAUACACUAAUAGAAAAACUUACUACGUGUUUAUUUGCUAGUUAUUUAAGAAAAAAAUACAAGUAAAAUCAAAUUAAA